UGUUUAACCCUGUAUUUCUAUGUUUGAUCCUGUACUUCUAUGUUUGAUUUGUUAUUGUCAAACAUAGAAGUACAGGAUCAAACAUAGAAAUACAGGGUUAAACA
rnacentral:pre_miRNA from 1 species